GAGACUCUGUGCGCGUGCAUAUCAAUAAGCGGAGGAAAAGAAACUAACAAGGAUUCCCCUAGUAACGGCGAGUGAAGCGGGAAGAGCUCAAAUUUGAAAUCUUCAAGGUUUGACCUUGACGAAUUGUAGUUUAAAGAAGUGUUUUCGGUUAGAGGAGUAGUAAAAGUUCUUUGGAAUAGGACAUCAUAGAGGGUGAGAAUCCCGUAUUUGACUAUUCUUUCUAGCUUUGUGAUACACUUUCAAAGAGUCGGAUUGUUUGGGGAUGCAGUCCAAAAUGGGUGGUAAAUUUCAUCUAAAGCUAAAUAUUGGCGAGAGACCGAUAGCGAACAAGUACCGUGAGGGAAAGAUGAAAAGAACUUUGAAAAGAGAGUUAAACAGUACGUGAAAUUGUCAAAAGGGAAGCGUUUGACACCAGUGUUGUUUUUCCGAAAAUCAAUCACGAAUGAUUAUUGUUUUAAGGAGUUAUGACUUCAUCAGGCUUGCAAUUCUGGUCUUUACGGAUACUUUCUUGAUGCACUUUUCGGUUAACAAGUCAACAUCAAUUUCCUUUGUUGUAAAAGGGUAUGAGGAAGGUGGCUUUCAAUUUUCGGAUGAAGUGUUUAUAGCCUUGUACCUCUGCAAUCGGAGAGAUUGAGGUCUGCAGCGUAGAUCCUUCGGGGUUAGAUACAUUUGUGCUAAGUUAUAGCUUUUCAUAGACAACUUGUUGACUAUGUUAAGUCUUGUAGCUUACUCGCUUAUGCUAUUUUACCUACGCUUAGGAUGUUGAAGAUGUAGCACAUCAU
rnacentral:rRNA from 1 species